CCCUCAUUUUAAAUAGUUUUUAAAAUAGUAUUUUUGUAAUCAUGCAGAUGCAGAUGCAAGUGAAUGAUGGAAUGUGGAAGGAAGGAGUACGAAGAAAUAUGCAAAUAGUAUUUUUACUAUGCAAAUAGUAUUUUGUGAAAUAGUAAUUUCGCAAUAGUUAUGAAUAGUAAUGAAUAGUAACUAUAUGAAUGCAGGAUGUAUGCAAUGAUGAAGAAGAUGAAGGUAAACAGUAUUUAAAAUAAUAAAAUAAUAUAAAGUAAAUAGAAAUAAAGGAAUGAAGUAACUAAGACUUCAUUAAAACAAACUGAUGCAUGGAUAUGU
rnacentral:lncRNA from 1 species